UACGUAGGGUGCAGGCGUUAAUCGGAAUUACUGGGCGUAAAGCGUGCGCAGGCGGUUUCUUAAGUCAGAUGUGAAAGCCCCGGGCUUAACCUGGGAACUGCGUUUGAAACUGGGAGACUUGAGUGUGGCAGAGGGGGGUGGAAUUCCACGUGUAGCAGUGAAAUGCGUAGAUAUGUGGAGGAACACCGAUGGCGAAGGCAGCCCCCUGGGUUAACACUGACGCUCGAUGCACGAAAGCGUGGGGAGCGAAACAGG
rnacentral:rRNA from 1 species